AUUGAACGCUGGCGGAAUGCUUUACACAUGCAAGUCGAACGGCAGCACGGGUGCUUGCACCUGGUGGCGAGUGGCGAACGGGUGAGUAAUGCACCGGAACGUAUCCAAUAAUGGGGGAUAACGCACCGAAAGGUGUGCUAAUACCGCAUACGCCCUGAGGGGGAAAGCGGGGGAUCGUAAGACCUCGCGUUAAUGGAGCGGCCGAUGCCGGAUUAGCUAGUUGGUGAGGUAAAGGCUCACCAAGGCGACGAUCCGUAGCUGGUCUGAGAGGACGACCAGCCACACUGGAACUGAGACACGGUCCAGACUCCUACGGGAGGCAG
rnacentral:rRNA from 1 species